rnacentral:rRNA from 1 species
CCCUUAGAUGUUCUGGGCUGCACACGUGCUACACUGGCAGGUUCAGCGAGCUUAAUGCCCUGAUCUGAAAGGAAUGGGAAAUCUUUUCAAAACCUGCCGUGCUUGGGAUAGAUGUUUGCAAUUAUUCAUCUUCAACGAGGAUUGCCUUGUAAGCGCACGUCAUCAGCGUGCAUUGAAUACGACCCUGUAUUCUGUACACACCGCCCGUCGCUCCUACCGAUUGAAGUUUUCGGUGAGUUGACAGGAGGAUUUUUUUGAAACUGGUUCGCCAGUGGAUUUUAGAUCCAAAUGCCAACGAAUCGAUGGCUUUAGAGGAAGGAGAAGUCGUAACA